GCCGGAUAGCUCAGUGGUAGA
rnacentral:tRNA from 1 species